AUUUUAACCGCUAUGUUACGAAGAUAUAGCAAGAGCUAUAAUAGAAAUCACUUUGCUUUGAUAUAUGUUGAUUGAAAUUAAUGCUAUAUACUCAAACAUGUUUUACGGAAAGUGUGCAAAGUGAUCUCCCAUUACAUUCAGGAUAACUUGUUGAAUUAAUACUUAAUCAUGAAUUCCUGGUUCGCUGAAAGAUAUUCAGCGUAAUAUGAAUGAUCGUCCCAUCCAUUGCAGUGAUAUUCCAUAGAUCAUAUUGCAUGUUAUAUCAUUGGAAGUAUCCACUUCAUAUGAAAAUGAUAGCAUGGUAUGCUCGUAUGCUUAUUGAAUGAAUGGACGUUUAUUCAGUUGAAUGUUCAUGCCUCCAAUGCCAUGCUUAUGUUGCCGUAUAUCUGUAACGAAGCGAUCAAGACUGUUUCUAUAAAAAAUUUACUUGUUUUUAACUGUAGAAUGCUAUGCAGUUCAGAUACUGUAAAAAAGGGAAAUAUCUUAUUUUUUAUUGUGACCGUAGAAUAUCUUAACAUGAAUUUAAGGCAAAAUUUUUAAAAUAAUCAAUAGUAAAAUAUUGACCAUAAGCC
rnacentral:lncRNA from 1 species